AACGAACGCUGGCGGCAGGCUUAACACAUGCAAGUCGAACGCCCCGCAAGGGGAGUGGCAGACGGGUGAGUAACGCGUGGGAAUCUACCGUACCCUACGGAAUAACGCAUGGAAACGUGUGCUAAUACCGUAUACGCCCUUAGUGGGAAAGAUUUAUCGGGGUAUGAUGAGCCCGCGUUGGAUUAGCUAGUUGGUGGGGU
rnacentral:rRNA from 1 species